rnacentral:rRNA from 1 species
ACGGAAGGCAGCAGUGGGGAAUAUUGGUCAAUGGGGGCAACCCUGAACCAGCGACGCCGCGUGAGUGAAGAAGUAUUUCGGUAUGUAAAGCUCUAUCAGCAGGGAAGAUAAUGGCAGUACCUGACUAAGAAGCACCGGCUAAAUACGUGCCAGCAGCCGCGGUAAUACGUAUGGUGCAAGCGUUAUCCGGAUUUACUGGGUGUAAAGGGAGCGUAGGCGGUUUGGCAAGUCUGAUGUGAAACCCCGGGGCUUAACCCCGGGCAUGCAUUGGAAACUGUCGGACUAGAGUGUCGGAGAGGAAAGCGGAAUUCCGAGUGUAGCGGUGAAAUGCGUAGAUAUUAGGAGGAACACCAGUGGCGAAGGCAGCUUACUGGACGAUAACUGACGUUGAGGCUCGAAAGCGUGGGGAGCAAACAGGAUUAGAUACCCUGGUA